AGUGAACGCUGGCGGUAGGCCUAACACAUGCAAGUCGAACGGCAGCACAGUAAGAGCUUGCUCUUACGGGUGGCGAGUGGCGGACGGGUGAGGAAUACAUCGGAAUCUACUUUUUCGUGGGGGAUAACGUAGGGAAACUUACGCUAAUACCGCAUACGACCUACGGGUGAAAGCAGGGGAUCUUCGGACCUUGCGCGAUUGAAUGAGCCGAUGUCGGAUUAGCUAGUUGGCGGGGUAAAGGCCCACCAAGGCGACGAUCCGUAGCUGGUCUGAGAGGAUGAUCAACCACACUGGAACUGAGACACGGCCCAGACUCCUACGGGAGGCAGCAGUGGGGAAUAUUGGACAAUGGGCGCAAGCCUGAUCCAGCCAUACCGCGUGGGUGAAGAAGGCCUUCGGGUUGUAAAGCCCUUUUGUUGGGAAAGAAAAGCAGCAGGUUAAUACCCCGCUGUUCUGACGGUACCCAAAGAAUAAGCACCGGCUAACUUCGUG
rnacentral:rRNA from 1 species